rnacentral:rRNA from 1 species
UACGAAGGGGACUAGCGUUGUUCGGAAUUACUGGGCGUAAAGGGCGCGUAGGCGGUUGCUCAAGUCAGGCGUGAAAGCCCCGGGCUCAACCUGGGAAUUGCGCUUGAGACUGGGCGGCUUGAGUUCGGGAGAGGUGAGUGGAAUUCCCAGUGUAGAGGUGAAAUUCGUAGAUAUUGGGAAGAACACCGGUGGCGAAAGCGACACACUGGACCUUGUCUGACGCUGAGGCACGAAAGCCAGGGGAGCAAACGGG